GCUGUGAUGAAUCUUAUGGCUUUGAUCAGCUGAAGUGAUAUUGCUUUCUUGAUCCUCUAAGAAGUUCUGAGCAC
ensembl:snoRNA SNORD61 small nucleolar RNA, C/D box 61